AUUAGAGUGGCAGAACCAGGCCAAUGCAUAAGACUUAAAACCUUAUUAUAGAGGUCCAAAUCCUCUCUCUAAUA
ensembl:Mt_tRNA